AUUGAACGCUGGCGGCAGGCCUAACACAUGCAAGUCGAGCGGAUGACGGGAGCUUGCUCCUGGAUUCAGCGGCGGACGGGUGAGUGAUGCCUAGGAAUCUGCCUGGUAGUGGGGGACAACGUUUCGAAAGGAACGCUAAUACCGCAUACGUCCUACGGGAGAAAGCAGGGGACCUUCGGGCCUUGCGCUAUCAGAUGAGCCUAGGUCGGAUUAGCUAGUUGGUGAGGUAAUGGCUCACCAAGGCGACGAUCCGUAACUGGUCUGAGAGGAUGAUCAGUCACACUGGAACUGAGACACGGUCCAGACUCCUACGGGAGGCAGCAGUGGGGAAUAUUGGACAAUGGGCGAAAGCCUGAUCCAGCCAUGCCGCGUGUGUGAAGAAGGUCUUCGGAUUGUAAAGCACUUUAAGUUGGGAGGAAGGGCAGUAAGCGAAUACCUUGCUGUUUUGACGUUACCGACAGAAUAAGCACCGGCUAACUCUGUGCCAGCAGCCGCGGUAACAC
rnacentral:rRNA from 1 species